GUCUGGGAUUGUGUCAUUCCCUACUCAGAAUCCUCUAUCUGUUCAGUACUGUAUCUUGCAAUAUCCAUCAUCACAUUAUCAAACAGGGUGGACAUAAUACAGCCAACACUUGAUCAACACUCGUGUCCUGAAGUAAAUGUUGACCUGGUAGUGAAGAGGACAGACCACGUGUGGCCUUAUGAGACGUGUGCUUGGGGUCACGUUUAGAUCCCAGACCGACCACUUAUCAGCUUAAUUUGAUCUUCCUAAUCAAAAAUGCCAACUUUCCCAGAUGCUACUGUGAAGAUCCAAGCAGAAGUUCUUCUUCAUUAUCUCUCUCUAUGCUUUACGAACUCAUUGAUUCACUCGUGCAUCCAUUCAAUAAACCUUGCCA
ensembl:lncRNA